GACUCUCCGAUCCCAUCUCGUCCGUCCCGGAGCAUCGACGGAAAGGAAAAUCCUCGCCAUCCCGAAGGACGGAAAAGUGGAACUGAACUGUCAAUUAUUGAUGUAAGCAUCAAUGUUACCAAAUACAGUGCCGGCCCGAGGCAAGUUUUAGGAUGGAGCGAGAUCCUAUUAUGGCGCCCCCCUUGGUUGCCCCUAAUUUUAUACCCUUUAAUUUUCUUUACCACUGAGGCGCCCCCUAGGACUUAGCGCCCGGAGCGACUGCUCCGUUUGCCCUAUGGUAGGGCCGGCUCUGACCAAAUAAACGGCUUUUUCUUUUGUCAUCAAUUGCCUCCUCCGCCACACCACACACAACCUUCUCUUAGGUUCAUCCUGAUGCGGGAUUAACAAGUCCCCUAUUCCACCGGAUCGGCGACCUUACAUAGAAGCCAAGGAAUUGCAAGUAGGAUUUUUUAAUGUGUGUGUUUGUACGAAUACAUAGGAAUGGGUACGGAUCAAAGUCCGCUAGGCGUGCUGAAGUCGCUGUCUGAAUACCCGGCCGACAUAAACCAGCAACCCGGAUAUGUUGGAUGACGUUUCGGUAGAACCACGUGGGUGCUUUGCCGAGAGUAUUCACCGGGAUGAGGUAGUUCAGCCCAUAGUCUGCAAGUUCCAAGACAAAAGACAAUGUGUUAUAUUUUAUUACCGCUUCAUUAUUAUUGCUACAAAGUGUAAGAAGUAUUUAAGAAGUGGUUUAAGGGAUGUGCAGAGUAGAAUAAGGAAAGGCAAAAGAGGGUAAG